rnacentral:misc_RNA from 1 species
GAUGAAGAGCGUAGCGAAAUGCGAUACGUAAUGUGAAUUGCAGAAUUCAGUGAAUCAUCGAAUCUUUGAACGCAUAUUGCGCUCUCUGGUAUUCCGGAGAGCAUGCUUGUUUGAGUAUCAGUAAACACCUCAACUCUUUUUUCUUUUUUGAAAUUGGAGCUGGACUUGAGUGAUCCCAACGCUUUCUUCCAAGAAAGUGGCGGGUUGCUUGAAAUGCAGGUGCAGCUGAACUUUUCUCUGAGCUAUAAGCAUAUCUAUUUAGUCUGCCUAAAAAACAGAUUAUUACCUUUGCUGCAGCUAACAUAAAGGAGACUAGUUCUUGUGCUGACUGAUGCAGGAUUCACAGAGACAGCUUCGGCUGACUUUGUAAACUCGAUCUCAAAUCAAGUAAGACUACCCGCUGAACUUAAGCAUAUCAAUAAGCGGAGGA